GCCAAGUCUGAAUUCACUGUUCGACGAUAAAAAUAAAUUGUAUUGAUGCUACAAUGAGCAAAAAUCUGUUGGGUAUCAUCUUGUUCCACCCAAACCCCGACAAUUUGUUUGGAGACAAAGCAUAGGGCGAGUAAAUAAUACAUAAUAUUUUAAAUCAGUAAAUACAUGCACUCCUUAACUGAGAAUGACGCUAGGAUCGAGAUUCCUCGAGUUGACUCCAGCAAGCUUGUCAAAAUAGAAAUUACUCACUACCAGCAUAAAUAUAACUACACAGUUACACACCCCCUUGAAUCUUCAGACAGCCACACAUAAGGUGGCAAUGGUAAUGGUAUGCAAUCGAGAGAAUUGCAGUAAAAAAGAAAAUAGCAUGUCCUC
rnacentral:misc_RNA from 1 species